GACGAACGCUGGCGGCGUGCUUAACACAUGCAAGUCGAACGGAAAGGCCCGGCUUUUGUGGGGUGCUCAAGUGGCGAACGGGUGAGUAACACGUGAGUAACCUGCCCUUGACUUUGGGAUAACUUCAGGAAACUGGGGCUCAUACCGGAUAGGAGCUCCUGCUGCAUGGUGUUGGUUGGAAAGUUUCGGCGUUUUGGGAUGGACUCGCGGCUUAUCAGCUUGUUGGUGGGGUAGUGGCUUACCAAGGCUUUGACGGGUAGCCGGCCUGAGAGGGUGACCGGCCACAUUGGGACUGAGAUACGGCCCAGACUCCUACGGGAGGCAGCAGUGGGGAAUAUUGCACAAUGGGCGGAAGCCUGAUGCAGCAACGUCGCGUGCGGGAUGACGGCCUUCGGGUUGUAAACCGCUUUCGCCUGUGACGAAGCGUGAGUGACGGUAAUGGGUAAAGAAGCACCGGCUAACUACGUG
rnacentral:rRNA from 1 species